UACGUAGGGGGCUAGCGUUGUCCGGAAUCAUUGGGCGUAAAGCGCGUGUAGGCGGUUCGGUAAGUCCGCUGUGAAAGUCGGGGGCUCAACCCUCGGAAGCCGGUGGAUACUGUCGGGCUAGAGUACGGAAGAGGCGAGUGGAAUUCCUGGUGUAGCGGUGAAAUGCGCAGAUAUCAGGAAGAACACCCGUGGCGAAGGCGGCUCUCUGGGACGGUACUGACGCUGAGACGCGAAAGCGUGGGGAGCGAACAGG
rnacentral:rRNA from 1 species